GGAGUGAGCCUGAUCAGAGGGGCUCAAAGGCCCCGUUAUAGAAUUUUGGGGAGUUUAAAUACCCCCAAGAACCUGGACACCCUCCAUCAUUAACAUAUUUUGGUGACCCAGGAAAGAGGAAGAGAUGUUCUUCUUUGUACUUUCUCAGAAGAGAAUCAGGGGGAGAGAAGCAAAAAUGGUCAUGACAAGACGCAUAUUUGCAGAAGAUAAUUUUUCAAAAAGUUGGGAGCAGACCUGGAACAGCUGGAUGUGGAAAUGCUUCUUGUUCCAGUACAUCACAUUCCAGGGAACAAAGAAUUCCUUUACAAAGCCGGGUGUCUUCAUUUUCUUAGAAGAACCACUGCAACGGACAGUCCUACAAUAUAGGGACUUUGAUCAUCUCCAGUGUGUCUAGGAGACAGGCUCACUAGUGAGGAGUGAUGCAGCCCAGGAAUCACAGUGGUGCAUUUUUGGAUCAACAAUCUCAACGCUGCUCUCAGUAUCCUAACCCAUGUGGGGAGCAACUGGGGACAGGUGUCUAUAUGUGAAUCCAGGUGUGAGGUGCACCUCUGUUUUGAUCACUUGUGACGAUGGCCCUCAAACUUGGUAUGUAUCAAAUCAUCCGGGAACUUGGUGAGACUGUGGGACCCUGAGCCUCAACCUGCUUCAAAGAGGGGAGGCAUGCAUAUUUUUUUGUUAGUUUUCAAGGUGAUUCUGAUACUAUAUACAGAAGUUUGAGAAGCACUUCUCCAGAGCCUAACAUCCAGGACUCUGAUUCUCAAAUUAGUUGCACACUGUCAUUACCUGGGAGGCUUUUAAAACACAGAAAACAAAAACCACUGUUGCCUCUUCCCACCCCUAGAGAUUCGGACAAUUGUUACGGAGUUUGGUCUGGGAACCAGAAUUCUUAACCUCUCCACAAGGUGUUUCUAAUAUAUAGCAAAGUUUGAGAAUCACUGAUCCAGGAGAAAAGUCUCUUUUCUGCACGUGUCUGCGUUUCUGUUUUAACA